ACAUCUGUCACCCCAUUGAUCGCCAGGGUUGAUUCGGCUGAUCUGGCUGGCUAGGCGGGUGUCCCCUUCCUCACCGCUCCAUGUGCAUCCCUCCCGAAGCUGUGCACUCGGUCGAAGAGGACGACCUUCCCCGACAGAGGAGAGGACUGUUCUUCGGUCAAGGGGACAAAGCAAGAGAAGG